ACGGAGAGUUUGAUCCUGGCUCAGGACGAACGCUGGCGGCGUGCUUUACACAUGCAAGUCGAACGGUGAAGUCGGGGCUUGCCCCGCAACCUACCCCUGACUCCGGGAUAACUUCCCGAAAGGGAAGCUAAUACCGGAUAUGAACCUCUGCGGCAUCGCGGGGGUUGGAAAGUUCUUCGGUCAGGGAUGGGCUCGCGGCCUAUCAGCUAGUUGGUGGGGUAAUGGCCUACCAAGGCAACGACGGGUAGCCGGCCUGAGAGGGCGACCGGCCACA
rnacentral:rRNA from 1 species